rnacentral:ncRNA from 2 species
AUUGUCAGUUCUUAUUUAAAAGCUUAAAUUUGCAACGUUUUAAAAAAGGGAAUUCGGUGUAAAUCCGAAGCAGACCCGCUACUGUAAGUAUUUCUAAGAAAUUCAGAAAUAUAAGUCAGAUACCUUUCUAAAGCAUUUUUUUGAU